rnacentral:lncRNA from 1 species
AGAUCCGGAUCCGGAGCGGCUGAAAGGCGGAAGUGGAGGCCGGAGCCUGGGACACCGCCGGCGGGGAGAGAAGCGGAUCCCGUCCGAGCCCCGGCCCCAAGUAACGCCGCCGCCCCGGAGCCGCCUUGGAGGUCCCCCUCCCCACUAAGUGCCUCUUUGCAUAGCACCAGUCCCCACCCGCACGCUCUCUGGACCACUACAGCUGGACGGGCAAUGGCGGGUCGGGGAGGCGCAGCACGACCCAAUGGACCAGCUGCUGGGAACAAGAUCUGUCAAUUUAAGCUGGUUCUGCUGGGGGAGUCUGCGGUAGGCAAAUCCAGCCUCGUCCUCCGCUUUGUCAAGGGACAGUUUCACGAGUACCAGGAGAGCACAAUUGGAGGUGAGUGGGCAUGAGGGAGUCGGGGAGGGGCCUGAAGGUUGCCAAAGAAAUGCUUUGACCUUGAGGAGAUGGGAAGCUGCCUGCCUGCAUUAGGGACUAAAUGCGUCUGUGGUGGCAGCCCCACUUCCUCACCUGGGCCCUGGAAUUGAGCCCAGCAACUGGUCUCCAUGCCAGAG